rnacentral:rRNA from 1 species
CAGUAGCCGCGGUAAUACGUAGGGUCCGAGCGUUGUCCGGAAUUAUUGGGCGUAAAGGGCUCGUAGGCGGUUUGUUGCGUCGGGAGUGAAAACCCAGGGCUUAACUUUGGGCUUGCUUUCGAUACGGGCAGACUUGAGGCAUUGAGGGGAGAACGGAAUUCCUGGCGUAGCGGUGGAAUGCGCAGAUAUCAGGAGGAACACCGAUGGCGAAGGCAGAUCUCUGGGCCGUGACUGACGCUGAGGAGCGAAAGCGUGGGGAGCGAACAGGAUUAGAUACCCCAGUAGUCCCUGUCUCUUAUAC